UUGAACGCUGGCGGAAUGCUUUACACAUGCAAGUCGAACGGCAGCACGGGGGCAACCCUGGUGGCGAGUGGCGAACGGGUGAGUAAUACCUAGGAACAUGUCCAGUAGUGGGGGAUAACGCAGCGAAAGCUGUGCUAAUACCGCAUACGCCCUAUGGGGGAAAGCGGGGGAUCGCAAGACCUCGCGCGAUUGGAGCGGCCGAUAUCGGAUUAGCUAGUUGGUGAGGUAAAGGCUCACCAAGGCGACGAUCCGUAGCGGGUCUGAGAGGACGACCCGCCACACUGGAACUGAGACACGGUCCAGACUCCUACGGGAGGCAGCAGUGGGGAAUUUUGGACAAUGGGGGAAACCCUGAUCCAGCCAUUCCGCGUGAGUAAAGAAGGCCUUCGGGUUGUAAAGCUCUUUCAGCAGGAACGAAACGGUCGGCUUUAAUACGGUCGGCUAAUGACGGUACCUGCAGAAGAAGCACCGGCUAACUACGU
rnacentral:rRNA from 1 species